rnacentral:rRNA from 1 species
UACGGAGGAUGCAAGCGUUAUCCGGAAUGAUUGGGCGUAAAGCGUCCGCAGGUGGCUAUGUAAGUCUGCUGUUAAAGAGUGAGGCUCAACCUCAUAAGAGCAGUGGAAACUACAUAGCUAGAGUACGGUCGGGGUAGAAGGAAUUCCUGGUGUAGCGGUGAAAUGCGUAGAGAUCAGGAAGAACACCGGUGGCGAAAGCGUUCUGCUAGACCUGUACUGACACUGAGGGACGAAAGCUAGGGGAGCGAAUGGG